AACUCGAAUAGGAUCGCGGACAGUAUUUGUUUUAAGCUAAUCCAAUUCUCAUUCUAUUCGGCUGGGUUUUCUUCUGGAGGGGCUCCUUUUUGUUUCUGUGUGGCGAUUUUUGGGUUUCUUGUGACAUACGCGGCGUUUUUGGGGUUUAGAGAUUGUCCUCGCUGCUGUCCUCUUCUCCUUCCCCUGCUUUGGGUCUGUGCGCUUUUACAGGUUACUGAAGGUUUAUGGUUGGUUUCUGCCGGUAGCACUCUUUCAAGAAAUCGAGGAUAUAAAACCUGCAUUUGAUGAUAUUAGACCUGGAAAUCACUUUCUCAGGGGAUGAAAUAUAUGUCAAAUUGGCUUAAUGCUAUCUUAAAAAUUCACAGGGUUGUAUGAGAAUAGAGGAGACUAUCAUAUGAGCCCAAAUAUUCGCAACAAAUCAACAUCAAAAUUGACCAAAUCUAUGAAAGAAUCAUACCUAAAGGAGAACGCCGACUACGAAGAACUUCAUGGAAUUGUGAACGGAGGUUGGCUGCUGAUUCGACGGGCUCCAUCUUCUUGAAAUUCCGACGAGCAACGGUGAUGUGAACAUGUUUGAGAUGAUACGUUGUGUUAAUAUUUAUAGUAGAGUAAUUGCGAUAAGGGAGCAGGUGAGAGCUAAGUAGUUAUCGUGUUUAAAAUUUCAAUAGCGGUCACAUGUCGCUAUUUGAAAUCGCGGUUAUCAUGGUGGUAUAAUGGUUUUCUAAAAUUAUGUACUUAAUUUAUAUUAUAUAUUUAUACAAAAUUUAUCCAUUAGAGUAUCACUACUAUAUAGAAUUAAUAUCAUAAAAAGUCAUCUAAACAUAAUGUAAACCAUAUAUAACAUUCUAAUAUAGUA